rnacentral:rRNA from 1 species
UCUCAGUUCGGAUUGUAGGCUGCAACUCGCCUACAUGAAGUUGGAAUCGCUAGUAAUCGCGAAUCAGAAUGUCGCGGUGAAUACGUUCCCGGGUCUUGUACACACCGCCCGUCACACCACGGAAGUUGGGGGCGCCCGAACGCCACUUAGCUAACCCUUUUGGGAAGCGAGUGUCGAAGGUGAAAUCAAUAACUGGGGUGAAGUCGUAACAAGGUACC